ensembl:lncRNA
UGUUAAACGACUGAUUAAAAAAAGAUGAAUGAAAAGUGUACGAUCCAGCGGGUGUGGAGGCGUGGAGGUGUGAUGGUGUGGAGGUGUGGAGGUGUAGAUGUGUGGAGGUGUAGAGGUGUAGAUGUGUGGAGGUGUAGAGGUGUAGAUGUGUGGAGGUGUGGAGGUGUAGAGGUGUAGAUGUGUGGAGGUGUAGAGGUGUAGAUGUGUGGAGGUGUGGAGGUGUAGAUGUGUGGAGGUGUGAUGGUGUGGAGGUGUGGAGGUGUGAUGGUGAGCUGUAAACCCGUCUGCAGAUACACUUUACACGUCUCUGCAACUUAAAUGAACCACAAUCUGAGUAAUAUUUUUUAAAACGCUGAUAAUUCAGGAUGAGUGGAGUACACAAGUCCUGUUACUGAUUACAG